GUGCAGCAGCCGCGGUAAUACGGAGGUGCAAGCGUAAUCGGAAUUACUGGCGUAAAGCGCACGCAGCGGUCUGUCAAGUCGGAUGUGAAAUCCCCGGGCUCAACCUGGGAACUGCAUUCGAAACUGGCAGGCUAGAGUCUGUAGAGGGGGGUAGAAUUCCAGGUGUAGCGGUGAAAUGCGUAGAGAUCUGGAGGAAUACCGGUGGCGAAGGCGGCCCCCUGGACAAAGACUGACGCUCAGGUGCGAAAGCGUGGGGAGCAAACAGGAUUAGAUACCCUGGUAGUCCACGCCGUAAACGAUGUCGACUUGGAGGUUGUGCCCUUGAGGCGUGGCUUCCGGAGCUAACGCGUUAAGUCGACCGCCUGGGGAGUACGGCCGCAAGGUUAAAACUCAAAUGAAUUGACGGGGGCCCGCACAAGCGGUGGAGCAUGUGGUUUAAUUCGAUGCAACGCGAAGAACCUUACCUGGUCUUGACAUCCACAGAACUUUCCAGAGAUGGAUUGGUGCCUUCGGGAACUGUGAGACAGGUGCUGCAUGGCUGUCGUCAGCUCGUGUUGUGAAAUGUUGGGUUAAGUCCCGCAACGAGCGCAACCCUUAUCCUUUGUUGCCAGCGGUUAGGCCGGGAACUCAAAGGAGACUGCCAGUGAUAAACUGGAGGAAGGUGGGGAUGACGUCAAGUCAUCAUGGCCCUUACGACCAGGGCUACACACGUGCUACAAUGGCAUAUACAAAGAGAAGCGACCUCGCGAGAGCAAGCGGACCUCAUAAAGUAUGUCGUAGUCCGGAUUGGAGUCUGCAACUCGACUCCAUGAAGUCGGAAUCGCUAGUAAUCGUAGAUCAGAAUGCUACGGUGAAUACGUUCCCGGGCCUUGUACACACCGCCCGUCACACCAUGGGAGUGGGUUGCAAAAGAAGUAGGUAGCUUAACCUUCGGGAGGGCGCUUACCACUUUGUGAUUCAUGACUGGGGUGAAGUCGUAACAAGGUAACCGUAGGGGAACCUGCGGCUGGAUCACCUCCU
rnacentral:rRNA from 1 species